CACGUAGGGGCCAAGCGUUGUCCGGAUUUAUUGGGCGUAAAGAGCUCGUAGGCGGUUGGGUAAGUCGGGUGUGAAAACUCCGGGCUCAACUCGGAGACGCCACCCGAUACUGCUCUGACUUGAGUCCGGUAGGGGAGUGGGGAAGUUCCUGGUGUAGCGGUGAAAUGCGCAGAUAUCAGGAGGAACACCGGUGGCGAAGGCGCCACUCUGGGCCGAAACUGACGCUGAGGAGCGAAAGCGUGGGUAGCAAACAGG
rnacentral:rRNA from 1 species